AAAGAUAUGGACAUGCAUGUUCACAGAAUUGGUAGAACAGGUCGUGCUGGUGACAAGGAUGGAACGGCCUUCACUCUUAUUACUCAUAAGGAAGCACGUUUUGCUGGUGAACUGGCGAACAGUUUGGUUGCUGCUGGUCAAACUGUGUCUGUGGAACUAAUGGACCUUGCUAUGAAGGACGGAAGGUUUCGGUCCAAAAGGGAUGCAAGGAAAGGAGGUGGAAAAAGGGCCAAAGGAAGGGGAGGAGGAAACAACAAAGGUGUACGAGGUGUGGAUUUUGGUCUAGGGAUUGGAUACAAUCCUGAAUCAAAUAACCCUCUCCAGAGCGCUGCUCCAAGCCGUUCUGCAGCUGUUAAUUCCCUGAGGACAGGCAUGAUGUCACAAUUUAAAAGUAGCUUUGUUGCUGCAUCAUCAAAUUCUCAAAAUCAAGGGAUGAAUAACACAGCUGGCGCGUUU
rnacentral:misc_RNA from 1 species